rnacentral:rRNA from 1 species
UUCUUCGGAGAGUUUGAUCCUGGCUCAGGACGAACGCUGGCGGCGUGCCUAAUACAUGCAAGUCGAGCGAAUCGACGGGAGCUUGCUCCCUGAGAUUAGCGGCGGACGGGUGAGUAACACGUGGGCAACCUGCCUAUAAGACUGGGAUAACUUCGGGAAACCGGAGCUAAUACCGGAUACGUUCUUUUCUCGCAUGAGAGAAGAUGGAAAGACGGUU